rnacentral:tRNA from 1 species
GCCUCAGUGGCCAAGUGGUAAGGCGUCGGUCUCGUAAACCGAAGAUCAUGGGUUCAAACCCCAUCUGAGGCU